GACGAACGCUGGCGGUGUGCUUAACACAUGCAAGUCGAACGGUAAAGCCCUUUCGGGGGUACACGAGUGGCGAACGGGUGCGUAACACGUGAGUAACCUGCCCUCAUCUCUGGGAUAACAGUCGGAAACGGUUGCUAAUACUGGAUAUGAGCUUGCAAGGCAUCUUGUGGGUUGGAAAGAUUUUUUUUGGUUGGGGAUGGACUCGCGGCCUAUCAGCUUGUUGGUGAGGUAGUGGCUCACCCAGGCUUCGACGGGUAUCCUGCCUGAGAGGGCUACCGGCCACAUUGGGACGGAGAGACGGCCCAAACUCCUACGGGAGGCAGCAGUGGGGAAUAUUGCACAAUGGACGGAAGUCUGAUGCAGCAACGCCGCGUGCGGGAUGACGGCCUUCGGGUUGUAAACCGCUUUCAAUUGUGACGAAGCUUUUUUGUGACGGUAGCAGUAGAAGAAGCACCGGCUAACUACGUG
rnacentral:rRNA from 1 species